UGCAGGGAGAGCCGGGGCUGGCUCACAGUUGGGAAUCAAGAUGCCUGGACCUGUCUCUUGCCCUCUUCUGCCUCCUGGGUGGUUCUCUCCAGAAGGAAUCAGUAAGACGUCGGGAUGAGGCCCUCAAUCCUGUUUGCUGCCUUCCUCUGGCUCCAGGGUUUCUUGGCCAAGGGAGAUGAGUGUUAUUCCCUGGCCAGGAGCCUGGACGGAGAGA